GAUGAACGCUAGCUACAGGCUUAACACAUGCAAGUCGAGGGGUAACGAGAGGAAAGCUUGCUUUCCUUGUCGACGACCGGCGCACGGGUGAGUAACGCGUAUCCAACCUGCCCCCAACUAGGGAAUAACCUUGCGAAAGUAAGACUAAUACCCUAUAAUUUCCUCAGAUGUCAUCUUACGAGGAAUGAAGAUUUAUCGGUUGUGGAUGGGGAUGCGUCUGAUUAGCUUGUUGGCGGGGUAACGGCCCACCAAGGCAACGAUCAGUAGGGGUCCUGAGAGGAAGGUCCCCCACAUUGGAACUGAGACACGGUCCAAACUCCUACGGGAGGCAGCAGUGAGGAAUAUUGGUCAAUGGGCGGAAGCCUGAACCAGCCAAGUAGCGUGCAGGAUGACGGCCCUAUGGGUUGUAAACUGCUUUUAUACAGGAAUAAAGUUAGCCACGUGUGGUUAUUUGUAGGUACUGUAUGAAUAAGGACCGGCUAAUUCCGUGCCAGCCGCCGCCGUAA
rnacentral:rRNA from 1 species